AUUGAACGCUAGCGGGAUGCUUUACACAUGCAAGUCGAACGAGUGGCGGACGGGUGAGUAAUAUAUCGGAACGUGCCCAGUAGCAGGGGAUAAAUACUCGAAAGAGUGGCUAAUACCGCAAACUAUUGGAGCGGCCGCUAGCGGAUUACCUCUUUGGGGGGGUAAAGGCUCACAAAGGCCACGCUCCGUAGCUGGUUUGAGAGGCCGACCAUCCAAACUUGGACUUUGACACGGCCCAGACUCCUUCGGGUGGCAGCAGGCGGGAAUUUUGGACAAUGGGGGCAACCCUGAUCCAGCCAUCCCGCGUGUGUUAGAAGGGCUUAGGGUUGUAAAGUACUUUCAGCGGGGAUGCGUUCCCCGCAGAAGAAGCACCGGCUAACUCCGUGCCAGCAGCCGCGGUAAUUC
rnacentral:rRNA from 1 species